rnacentral:ncRNA from 1 species
UUAAAGUUUUAUUCUAGCUUUAAGGUUAGAUAUAUUUAUUAUUUUAUAUGCUUACUUUUUAAAUAAAUUAAAUUUAAAAAGUUUAAUUAUAUAUGAAGCAGUAUUUAAUUUUAAUAAUUAAAGAGAUUUAGAAUUAGAAAUAAAAUUAAACAUUGACAAAAUUUGUGCCAGCAGUUGCGGUUAGACAGAUGAUGUAAUUUAAUUUUUUAAGCAGUAAUUAAUUUAAAUAAUAAUAAAAUCUAAAUUUAAAUUUAUUAGGUGAAAUUUUAAAUUUAAAUUAAAUUUAUUUAUUUUUUAUAAAGUUAUAAAAUUUAAUAUUAAACUAGGAUUAGAUACCCUAUUAUUAUAAAUGUAAUUUAAUAAUGCUAAGUAAUUAAUAGUUAUGAUCUUUAAAACUAAAGAAUUUGGCGGUAUUUUAGUCUAUUCAGAGGAACCUGUUCUAUAAUUGAUAAUCCACGAUUUAUAGUACUUAUUUUAUUAUUAGUUUGUAUAUCGUCGUAGGUUGAAUAUUUUAGGAGAAUAAAAAUAUUCAAGAAUUUUUUUAAAAAAGAAAUCAGAUCAAGAUGCAGUUUAUAAAUAAGGAGAAAUGGGUUACAGUAUUUUUAAAUAAUUAGAUUAAUAAUUGAAAAUUGUUAUGAAAUUGGAUUUGAAAGUAAUUUUAAUAAAUUUAUUAAAAUGAUUUAAGCUCUAAAAUAUGUACAUAUCGCCCGUCACUUUCAUUUUAAGAUGAAAUAAGUCGUAACAAAGUAGGCUUACUGGAAAGUGUGCCUGGAAAGG